rnacentral:rRNA from 1 species
GAUGAAUGCUGGCGGCGUGCCUAACACAUGCAAGUCGAGCGGCAGCGCGAGUAGUUUACUACUUGGCGGCGAGCGGCGGACGGCUGAGUAACGCGUGGGAACGUGCCCCAAAGUGAGGGAUAACGCACCGAAAGGCGUGCUAAUACCGCAUAUGGUCUUCGGAUUAAAGAAUUUAUUCGCUUUGGGAGCGGCCCGCGUCGGAUCAGGUAGUUGGUAGGGUAAUGGCCUACCAAGCCGACGAUCCGUAGCUGGUCUGAGAGGAUGAUCAGCCAGACUGGAACUGAGACACGGUCCAGACUCCUACGGGAGGCAGCAGUGAGGAAUCUUCCACAAUGGGCGAAAGCCUGAUGGAGCAACGCCGCGUGCAGGAUGAAGGCCUUCGGGUUGUAAACUGCUUUUAUAAGUGAAGAAUAUGACGGUAACUUAUGAAUAAGCACCGGCUAACUACGUGCCAGCCGCCGCCGUAA